CAUGCUAGAAACAGCUGUAAAUACACAGGCAAGGUAGCUGGCUAGAGAGUCUGACAGCUACUGGUAUUCACUAUAACAUAAAAAAUACAAAAGUAUUUUUUAUGUUAGUGCUUGGUGGAAAAGGUCAGACUUAUUCUAUGGUCGAUAUUUGACGUAACCGGAACAAACGGGGCAUUGUACUGCCUUAACGGUUACAUUUAGCCGUUAGCUACUUAGCUUGCUAGUCAUCCAGCUAGCUCGUUUAGCUAGCUGUCACCGGGUUUGUUUUGUUGUUUCUAAAAGUGUCUGUUUCUCAAAUAACUCAUGAGUGUGUCUCUGGUUGUUAUCCGUCUGGAAUUAGCCGACCAGUCUCCUUCUCCACAAGGUUUCGAGUACUCAGCUGUUGAGGGGAUGUCAGAGGAAGAGCUGCAGGAGAAAGCUCUGGGAUUAGCCAAACACACUCUGAGUGGAAAGACUGAUCUAGAAAGAGCAGCUGUUUUACACCAGCACAUUGGCAGCAGAGCGAUGGGAGACAUGGUUAUAGAAACUUUUGAGCCCAGCCCAGAUACAGGCGGAGGUGAUGACUCGGGUGGCUCCUCAGAUCAGAACGGUGACACUCAGAUUGCACAGACUGAAGCAGACAGUGUGGAGGUCACCGAGGAGUCAAAGGACAGCAGUGAGAAGACAGGAGCCACUCCAGACUCGCCAUCAAAACAGCUACCAGACCAGAUCUCCUUCUUCAGUGGGAACCCCUCAGUGGAGAUUAUCCAUGGCAUCAUGCACCUCUACAAAACCAAUAAAAUGACGUCUCUGAAGGAGGAUGUACGACGCAGUGCUAUGGUGUGUAUCCUCACUGUCCCUGCCACCAUGACCAGCCAUGACCUCAUGAAGCUCAUGGCACCGUUUAAUGAUGUCAUGGAGCACAUGAAGAUCAUACGGGAUUCCACACCAAACCAGUACAUGGUUCUGAUUAAGUUUAGUUCACAGGCAGAUGCAGACAGUUUCUACACAGCCUGUAAUGGUCGUCAGUUCAACUCCAUAGAGGAAGCAGUUUGUCAGCUGGUCUACGUGGAGCGAGCGGAGGUCAUAAAAUCUGAGGAGGGAGCCAGUCUGCCGGUGAUGGAGCUGACAGAGCUGCCAAAGUGCACCGUGUGCCUGGAGAGGAUGGACGAGUCUGUGAACGGCAUUCUCACCACUUUGUGUAACCACAGCUUUCACAGCCAGUGUCUGCAGCGCUGGGAGGAUGCCUCGUGUCCCGUGUGUCGGUACUGUCAAACCCCAGAACCAGUGGAGGAGAACAAGUGCUUUGAGUGUGGCGUACAGGAGAACCUGUGGAUUUGUUUGAUCUGUGGUCACAUUGGCUGUGGUCGCUACGUCAGCCGGCAUGCUUACAAGCACUUUGAGGAAACACAGCACACGUAUGCCAUGCAGCUCACCAACCACAGAGUCUGGGACUACGCAGGAGAUAACUAUGUUCACCGGCUUGUUGCCAGUAAGACUGACGGGAAAAUGGUGCAGUAUGAAUGUGAGGGAGACACCUGCCAUGCUGAGAAAAUCGACGCCCUUCAGCUGGAGUACUCGUACCUGCUGACGAGCCAGCUGGAGUCUCAGAGGAUUUACUGGGAGAAUAAAAUCGUUCAUCUGGAGAAGGAGACGGCAGAGGAGAUAAACAACAUGAAGUCUAAAUUUAAGGAGACUUUGGAGCGCUGUGAUAACCUGGAGAGACGCUUUGGAGAUAUAAAUAAAGAGAAACAGGGGUUAGAGAAAAAGUGCACUCAGCUGAGCAGCCGGGUGGUGAAGUUGAGUCAGGAGCUGAAAGAGGAGCAGGAGAUGAAUCGAUGUCUGAGAGCCAAUCAGGCUCAGCUUCAGACGCAGCUCGCAGACGAGGAGCGCAAAGGAAAAGAGACUGGCGACCGUAAAGACUCGACGAUAGCAGAGCUCCAGGAGCAGCUGAGAGACGUCAUGUUUUAUCUGGAGGCGCAGCAGCAGAUCGAACAUCUUCCUCCGGAGGCUCGCAGCGAAAUCCAGGAGGGACAGAUCAACAUGGAAGCGAGUCCAGCAGACGGCUUGGCAGGAGCCGGCCCCUCCUCCGUCAGGGGCAGGAGAGGCCGGGGCAGGAAGAGGAAGUAGGCGGAGGGUUGAUAAAUCCACUGGAACAUGCUAGAAACAUGCUGCCUCUCAGUUUGGACUUUUACAGCUGGUAACGCGUCUGCAUCAUCAAAGGCACUGAGGAAGGAGGAAGACUGAAUGUAGAAACUCCUGGAAGAAGAAAAUGGUUUUCAAAGCCUACGCCCUAAAACUGCUCACGAUGGUAAACAGAGAAGAAGAAGAAGAGGCCUUAACCUGCCGUGUUGUUGUUUCUCUGAUAUUUGAGAGUGGAGGGAGAGGAGCCAAAGAAACCCAGGAACGAGAAGUCUGUAGGGAGGAGCAGGAAGCUUGUUUGCCCUUUAACUUUUAGGUCAGUGAUCAUAAAUCAAGUAUACUUUGAUCACAGUUAAUACCACUGCAUGUGCCAGGGUGUACCACUAAACAGACGUGAUGAAUUGGUUAAAAAUAUACCCAAACAUUUACACAGAGGAGGAAAAUAAACACAGCAUUUGGAUUGCAAAUCAAGGCGGGGCGAAAGUUUAUUUAUAGCCAUGUUAAAAGAUAAUUUUCAGCUAUGACAGGCUGGCGGAUCAAGUCUUUCCUGAAAACCUGAAGUCACUGACAGAAUAAUUCAAACAGUCUCUUUGUUUGUUGUUUGAAUCAAAGUGUUUUCUUUGUCCUUCAGUUUCCACUUCUUAAAGUUUACAACUAGGUCAGGGUGUCAGCACUUCAAUUUUGAUUUCCUUUUUGAAGAGAUUUAAGGGUGCACUCACGCUAGGGUCGGUCCAUGUCGUACUGAAGGGUCCUUAUUCCCCAGUGCACUCGCAUUGCUCUAAGUCUAACCAGACAAGCCAGCACAUCAUAAUAUGACACUCACAGUUUACAAGACGCUUUGUUUCACAGAGUCAGCACAGUGGAGAAAUACACAAACCUUUGUUUUAGUGGGCCCUAAUUACCUAGUAAUAGGUUGUAUUACUAGGUAAUUACAGUUUUCUGGAAACUCAUCAGAUGAAUCAGUUUCAUUUAAUCCCUAGCUACACUUUAGAAAUACACAAUCAACAUUAUCUUUAAUAUAGAACAUUUAAAGCAGCAGAUCAGUUUUACAAAGCUCAGUUUAUUUUGCUGCUUUUCUUACAUAAAAAUUUAAGCGCCAGACUUUAAUUCAAGUAUUUUUACAGUUUGUCUUUGCCACUUUCUCUCAGCAAAGUCAUCUUUAAAUGCUUAAAUCAACCACAACCCAGCUGUAGAGGUCAUGAACUCCAGAUCCAGGUCAUUUUCUCUGACAUUUACAUGUUUAUGGUGUAUGCUUAAACUCGUGCACAGGAUUCAACAUUUUGAAAACAUGGAGUGACCUUUAAAAGGUCGAAACUUCCCAAGACAAAUGCAAGUCUCAAAGAGCUGCUCUUACCUCUGCUUUUUAAAUUUACUUUUAGUUUAUGAGAUCCACAGCGUAUUUUAACUCCUUAAAGUCCAUAAUUUAACAGUUUUGUGAGUUUUUUAAACUUCUGCGUUGGUGAUCGCCAUGAACUCGAGGCCGUCAGUGUCCAUUUGUUCGGGCUGUUCUUGUGAACUUGGAGAGAUUUCCUUCAAACCUUGCACACAUGUUUACUCUGACCCAGGGAGGAACUCUCUAGGUUUUAAAGGUCUUGGGUAAAACUCUCCUAAAAUCCUGAAAAAUCUCCAAAAUCAAAGAUUAAGCAUUAGCUGAUUAGCUGUUUACAGUCAGAAUUUAUUUACUUUGUUUCUCCAACACAAGAUCAGUAAAUAAUGCCAUUUUCACCUCCAUUAAAAAAGUUGUUUAAUGAUUUUAUGCUGUCCAUUUAUUAAUGGGACAUCAGGUCUAAAUGCUGUUUGGAACAGAGCAGAGGUAGCAGUUUCCAUCUUUUCCCAUUCUUUAUGUUAAGUAAAGUUAAAAUCUAACCACGUUAGUCAUGUGUAAUAUAUUUGAAAGAGCAGAGGGAGACAGAAAGAGAGAUGAAUUAUCAAUUAAGUACAAUACUUUCAUAAGAAUGAGGUGUUAAUUCGGGUGUUUCAACAUGAAACUACCAUGUCAGAUUACACCAUGAGAACCUGCAUCAACACUUCAUGAACUGUGCUAAAAUGACCAAACAUGUAGUCAUGUGUCGCGCCAAAGUUCAGCUUUUUAAUAAUCAGAAUCCUUCUGUGAAUGCCUGUCUGACUUUUUGCCCCUGCUGCUGUCAUGUGUGACUAAUUCUUCCUUCAUACUAAGACAUUAACAGUUUACUCACUGCUGCUUUUAGAGUAAACUGUGUACAGAGGCUGCACAGACGGAAGCUCAGAGCUAAGAGCGAGUUAUAAAAAUACCAAGAGCUUCCUUUUCACACAAGUGAUCUAACACAAUCAGCUACCAGGCUGAUGUUGAAGAUUUUAUAAAUGCGACAUUCUCAUGGUACCAAAUACAAAGAUGUCCGUUUGGAUAGUUAACAGAUUUAUAUUUAGUUUUACAUGCAAAGAGUUUAAAUUGGCAAAUAUUUUACUAAAUAAAACUGCCACUUUUAGAGUGACACUAGAAGUCUUUUGAUUUAAAAUGAUAAUGCAAUGCAGCGUAGAGCGUUUGACAUUGUGGCAGCCCUUCCUUUUAUUUUGCUGCUGCUGUAGAUGACUUAAUGUACUGCAGCAUUUGUAUAUAUCAUAGCUUUAUUAUCUUUAGGGCCUUGACACUUGGCAUAUGCAUCAGGCCUGGCUCGCUAGUGCUCCCUAAACAGAUGUAAAAAUUUAGAAGUUGAUGUGCAAAAAUUGGUGACUUUUCAUCAAAGGGUGUGGCUCCAGUGAGGCAAAACGCUGAAAUCUGCCGAGGCAUGUCACAAGACGCUGACCUUGCACAUUUUGGCAAAUCAAAAGUUGUUGAAAAGGCUUGGCUAAGGUGUUUUGUUGUUUGCCAUGAAACAGGAAGUUGGUUUUCAGGUACCUAACAUACUUGGACAGCCAUGAAACUUGGCAGAAACAUGCCCAGUAAAAACAAAAAUGGUAUAGACUUUGAUGGGCUAAUUGGCUAAAUGGUGCCCCCUGCAGUUUUGUUUUAUAUUGCUGCACACUCAACCAAGGAUAGUUUGUUUUCAGAUUUUGGUAACCUUGCAAAAUAGAUGGAAACGCCUGUUUCUGUGUUUCUCACUGGUGAAUCCAUCUUGCGACGCUCCCAUCUGAACCAUUUGAGCCCGGUUAGAA